AUGAUGUCGCACACCCCAGUAGCCGAACUGGAACGAUUGUCCAUUGCCGAUGAGGGCAUUUCACAACGGAACAAUGUGUGUGAAACAAAAUCACAACGUUCUACUUCAUCUGAAUCUUCCUCAGCCAGCUUAGCGGCAGUCAGAGCUCACGCCAAAGUUGAAGCUGCACGCGCUCGUGCAGCUUUCAUUCAGCGCGAGGCCGAGUUGAAAGUCCAAGAAGCACACAUAGCUGCUGAGCUUUCAGCACUGGCGCAGGAGAAAGAAGUUGCAGUAGCUGUAGCAGAAGCUGAAGUCUUUGAGGCGGCAGCAGAGAUGGAGGGUCGAGAGGACGGCGGGAGUUACCAUGCAAUGGCUUGUGUUGCCAUGCAGCGUACCCGCGACUAUGUCAAACAACAUUCCCAGCUAUCUGAUAGUGAUACAGAACCCCCAAUGCUUCAACCAUUUUCACCAUCUCGUUUGCCCAACACCAAACCCAAAGCUACAGCAGGCGCACAGAAGCAGACUCCCGAUCACAGAGGAGUUCCUCACACAUUACCUAAACAUGCAGCAAGGCAGCCUGAGAGGUCAACACCAGUGGCUUGUCAACACAUCACGAGGGACGACGACAACCACAGGGUACAGCUACCUGAAGGACCAAUGCCUGCAGUUCAUCACCAUCCCAACCGUCAGUACCCUUCUGCUCAUUUGCAGCCUCCCUCUUUCAACAGAACCUCAUUCCAGCUGCAGGACGACAGGACUGGUAUGAGUGACAUCGCAACUUACCUGGUACGCCGAGAGCUUGUGAAUUCUGGUCUCAUCAAGUUCAACGAUCGACCAGAAAAUUAUUGGGCAUGGAGGUCUUCAUUCUGCAACGCCAUUGGAGGGCUAAACUUAACUGCUAGCGAGGAGCUCCACCUCUUAACAAAAUGGUUAGGCCCACAGUCUUCAGAGCACGUAAUGCGAGUCCGUUCCGUGCAUGUUGCCAGCCCUUCUACAGGAUUGAAGAUGGCCUGGGAACGCCUAGAGGAGUGCUAUGGUUCCCCUGAAGUAAUUGAAAGAGCUCUUUUUGACAGGAUAGAGAGUUUUCCUAAAGUCAGUCACAAGGAUCCCUUAAAGCUCAGGGAAUUAGGAGACCUGCUUAGGGAGCUAGAGUCUGCUAAGUCUGAAGGCUAUUUGCCUGGGCUCUCUUACCUAGACACCGCCAAGGGCGUCAACCCUAUAGUGGAAAAGUUGCCACUUGGUCUUCGAGAGAGGUGGUUAGUUCAAGGCUCAUUAUACGAAGAAGAGUACAGUGUUUCAUUUCCUCCACUUUCAUUCUUCAUGAACUUUGUAUGUAGUGAAGCACGUAGAAGGAAUGACCCUAGCUUUACUCUCUCAACAGUCUCUACCACUCCGCCAGACAGUUCCUACAGGUUUUCAUCAGGAUCACCAAAACACGAACGAGGAGAGAGGAGAUCGGGAUAUUUCAAGACUCAGGUUUCUGCUCACAAAAUUGAAGUCGCAUCACAUCAACAGGCUUCUCAGCAGGAUGGCUCAAGUGGGAAGCUGAGUGACGUCGACAGAAAAUGUCCUAUUCACAAGAAACCUCAUCCUCUAAAAAAGUGCAGAGGUUUUCGGAGCAAACCACUCGAAGAGCGCAAGACACUUAAGGAACACAAUGUCUGUUUCAGAUGCUGUUCUUCUACUACUCACCUGGCAAAAAACUGUAAGGCAGCUUUAAAGUGUAAAGAAUGUGAUAGUGACGCUCACAUUUCUGCGCUUCACCCUGGACCGCCUCCGUGGAAUGUAGCAGACCCCUCCUCAGAGCAUGGCGGGGAGGGUGAACAAGAGCCUUCUCAGUCCGUGGUCACCUCGACGUGCAGAGAGGUCUGUGAUGAAGCUAAAGGACCUAGAUCUUGCUCUAAAAUCUGUUUGGACACCAAGGAAAGGCCAUUAAAGUCUAUGUUAUUCUGGACGACCAGAGUAAUAGAUCAUUGGCAAAAUCUGAAUUCUUUAACCUCUUCCACAUCGGUGGGUCACACUCGCCAUAUACUCUCCGCACAUGCUCAGGAAUCACUGAGACAUUUGGGAGGAGAGCCACAGGAUUCAUGGCGGAAUCAUUGGAUGGUAAGACAAGUGUCGUGCUCACCACACUCAUUGAGUGCAAUCACAUGCCAGAUGAUCGGUCAGAGAUUCCGACUCCAGAAGUCGCACAGCACCACAGUCAUCUUAAGCCCAUUGCUCACAGAAUACCACAGCUAG
ensembl:lncRNA